CAGCAGUAGGGAAUCUUCCGCAAAUGGACGAAAGUCUGACGGAGCAACGCCGCGGUGAGUGAUGAAGGCUUUCGGGUCGUAAAACUCUGUUUGUUAGGGGAAGAACAAGUGCUAGUUGAAUAAGCUGGCACCUUGACGGUACCUAACCAGAAAGCCACGGCUAACUACGUGCCAGCAGCCGCGGUAAUACGUAGGUGGCAAGCGUUAUCCGGAAUUAUUGGGCGUAAAGCGCGCGCAGGUGGUUUCUUAAGUCUGAUGUGAAAGCCCACGGCUCAAACGUGGAGGGUCAUUGGAAACUGGGAGACUUGAGUGCAGAAGAGGAAAGUGGAAUUCCAUGUGUAGCGGUGAAAUGCGUAGAGAUAUGGAGGAACACCAGUGGCGAAGGCGACUUUCUGGUCUGUAACUGACACUGAGGCGCGAAAGCGUGGGGAGCAAACAGGAUUAGAUACCCUGGUAGUCCACGCCGUAAACGAUGAGUGCUAAGUGUUAGAGGGUUUCCGCCCUUUAGUGCUGAAGUUAACGCAUUAAGCACUCCGCCUGGGGAGUACGGCCGCAAGGCUGAAACUCAAAGGAAUUGACGGGGGCCCGCACGGGCGGUGGAGCAUGUGGUUUAAUUCGAAGC
rnacentral:rRNA from 1 species